rnacentral:rRNA from 1 species
UACGUAGGCAGCAAGCGUUGUUCGGAGUUACUGGGCGUAAAGAGUGCGUAGGCGGUCCUGUAAGUUUGGUGUGAAAUCUCCCGGCUCAACUGGGAGGGUGCGCCGAAGACUGCAGGGCUUGAGUAUGGGAGAGGUAAGCGGAAUUCCUGGUGUAGCGGUGAAAUGCGUAGAGAUCCGGAGGAACACCAGUGGCGAAGGCGACGUCCUGGGCUUGACCUGACGCUGAGACGCGACAGCACGGGGAGCAAACGGG